UGUAGGUGUAUCCUUCACUGUGUCUAACGUGUAGUAUGAGUACGAUUUAAAUAGAAUGUUCAGUUUUUAAUAUUAGCCAUAGCACUGGUUAGUAUCUCAAUACUUUCAUGAAAGGUUUCCUGUAUUCUAAUCUACUUUAAGAAAUUUUGUGGUCUUUUUUCUAUUGUGUCUUAUAGUUCAAGUUUGUGGAUUUUGACAAGCAACAGUUUUUAAAGAUGCAAUAAACUUCCAACUAAUAUUUAUCUAUCUUUCAUGGACCCACAAACGCAUCUUUAAAUCAUAAUGGUUGUCUUUGUUGUGCUGCAUUUAUAUCCUGUACCGGACUACUGGCUAAGGAGACCCAACUGGAAGGAGAGAUUGACCCAGAUGAAAUCCAUAAUGAGCUUUUACUGUGAAUGCACAUGGAAAAAAAUUAAGGCCUCUUGGAACAAAGAAACAACAACAGAACCGGAAGUCCCAUCAAAACAGCCACAGACACAUGUCUGGGCUGAGUGACAGUCACGGUGCCAUUCGAGA
rnacentral:lncRNA from 1 species